rnacentral:lncRNA from 1 species
CCCAGUUCGAGCUUCCCGGCUGCUUUGUUUACCUAAUCAAGCCUGGGCAAUGGCGGGCGCCCCUCCCCCAGCCUGUCUUCCGCCUUGCAGUUUGAUCUCAGACUGCUGUGCUAGCAAUCAGCGAGACUCCGUGGGCGUAGGACCCUCCGAGCCAGGGAAAUGGAAUUGAAGACAACUACUUCUAGAAUUGGUGCAUGGAAGCUUCUCAUAGGUGAUUAGCCACACUCUUCUUCUGUCAACCUGGUGCAGAAAAGCUUGAAGACCUUGGAAAUCACAUAUUGAUGAUGGAGGAGAUACAAGAAUGAAGGACCCUGGGUUCCUGAAUCAACACUCUAAGAAGAGACUCCUUGAAAUCAAGAGCACUCAUUUUGACAUUGCAAACGGAAAAAUUCACUUCUAUCAGGGGACUGAUCGGAGUCAAACCAUAUGCUGUGGCUUUUGCUCCAUGGAAAUCUCAACUAUACUGCAAGAAUAAUUAUUCCUACUUAAUGAAGUUACAGAA